AUUGGCGUUUUACAACGUAUAUGUCGUCGUAUUGCAUGUACGUUGAAAAACGCCGACGUGGUUGGCGUUUGAAAGAAAAACGCCAAUCCCACUGGCGUGUUUCAAAAAAUGCCAAUUCGGGUGGCGUUUUCAUGUUGCCUUCUGCUGUGAAAAAAAGGCCAAAAAUUCUCCCAAGUUAUACAGCCAAUGGGAUUGGCGUGUUUCAACAUUUCUUUCAGGCAUUUCAUCAAACACUUGGAGGGCAAACUUUCGUUCAGGCAUUUCAUAAACAGUUAGUUCAAAAUAUUUAACAGAGACUGAGUUGAGGUUUUACUAUAUGAAAACUUAGGAGCAAGGCUGACACAAACAUUCCAUUUAGACAGAUUACGGAAGCUUUGAUUUAAAUCAGUUGAGUUACGAAAAUUUUGGAGAGUUAUUACGUGAUUUUGAGAUAAAGCUCACUCAUGUCUAGUAUAAGUAGUUGGUAGUUCUCGGUUGUGAGAUAACACAAGCUCAUAACCACUUCUUGAUUCUUUCUCAAUAAAAGUCCUAGUUUACAUUUCCAUCUUCAAGCUAAAACCCUAUUUUGGAAAAAAAUAUUGACAAAUGUAAACCCACUUCUGUAGUUUUUGCAUUAUCUGCAUUGGGCUUGUUUGUGGUACGUUUUGUUAAGAAUUGACAUGACUCGGUGUGGAUUCUCAUUCAAUGUAUCCACUAGCAUUCUUGAAUUGCAAAUAUCUACCAUUAAUAUUUUCAAGUAAAUAAACCUUUUAUGACUUUCUCAAUAAAAGUCCUAGUUUAAAUUGCUAGUAAUAUUUUAUUUAAUGAAAUUGUUUUGGGGGAUUAAACAAUUUCCAUUAUAUAUAAAUGAUGAAUACGCCUCGCGUUAUGUACAGUUUUUAAUUUGAAUGCAUCGAUAUAUUUUUAAAUGGUAUAAUUAAAUAUUUCUAAACGGUAGUAUAAUUAAUUUUAAAAUUAUGUACUACUACAUAAUAAAUAAUUAAUUUAAAAAAACAAAUAAAGACGUCUGUGUAACUAUAUCUAGAGUGAUCGAAUAUAUGCUAGAUUCUUCAGCAUCUUACUACACAUGUGAAUAAAAUUAGAAUAUAAACUAGGACUUUUAUUGAGAAAGAAUCAAGAAGUGGUUAUGAGCUUGUGUUAUCUCACAACCGAGAACUACCAACUACUUAUACUAGACAUGAGUGAGCUUUAUCUCAAAAUCACGUAAUAACUCUCCAAAAUUUUCGUAACCCAACUGAUUUAAAUCAAAGCUUCCGUAAUCUGUCUAAAUGGAAUGUUUGUGUCAGCCUCGCUCCUAAGUUUUUAUAUAUUAAAACCUCAACUCAGUCUCUGUUAAAUAUUUUGAACCAACUGUUUGAUGAAAUGCCUGAACGAAAGUUUGCCCUCCAAGUGUUUGAUGAAAUGCCUGAAAGAAAAGUUUGCCUGAACGAAAUGUUGAAACACGCCAAUCCCAUUGGCGUGUAUAACUUGGGAGAAUUUUUGGCCUUUUUUUCACAGCAGAAGGCAACAUGAAAACGCCACCCGAAUUGGCGUUUUUUGAAACACUCCAAUGGGAUUGGCGUUUUUCUUUCAAACGCCAACCACGUCGGCGUUUUUCAACGUACAUGCAAUACGAUGACAUAUACGUUGUAAAACGCCAAUACGGGGUGGCGUUUUCACUUAAAACAUGCCAACGAGGGUGGCGUUUUUCCCAUUUAUGGAAUAGAUAACAAAAUGGGUACAUUUACGUUAUUUUAAAGACAAAGUAGCCUAUAAACCCGAUUUUCCCGAACUCUAUAUGUACAAUAACUCUUUCUUAGGUAAAAUUCCUUCGUCUUUGUUUAACAAUUCCAAGCUCCAGACAUUACAGAUAUUACGCUUGUACAGUAAUAAACUGAGUGGAUCCAUACCACAUGUUAUCUUCAAUGUGUCUUCCCUAAGAGAAAUCAGAAUUGCAAAUAAUAGCCUAUCAGGUCGGCUCCCAAUUGAUAUGUGCAACAAUAUGCCAAACAUCAAAUUCUUGUCACUCUCUCAAAAUCAACUUGAAGGGCAGAUUCCGUCAAAUAUAUGGAAAUGCACACAUCUUGAGAAGUUGUCAUUAUCCUUCAACAAUUUCAGUGGAAGCAUUCCACGUGAAAUUGGAAGAUUGAGCAUGCUUACAGAGUUGUACUUGGCGUUCAAUAGUGGUUUUCAAGGAGGAGUUCCAUCGGAAAUAGGGAAUCUUUCAAGGCUAGAGAUAUUAGCUAUUCAAGGCGCUUCUCUAACAGGACUUAUUCCUCCGAAUAUCUGGAAGUGCAAAAAUCUUGAGAUCUUGGGGUUAAGAUUGAACAAUUUCAGAGGCAACAUCCCUCACACAAUUGGAAAUAUGAGCAUGCUUAGAUGGUUGGACUUGGGUAACAACCAUUUCACAGGUACUUUUCCAUUGGAUUUGGGGAACUCACAAAUCAAUCUUGAAAAGCUUCUUUUGAGUUCUAACAGACUCAGUGGCUCAAUUCCAAGCACUAUCGCCAAUGCUUCUAAACUUACCAUCUUGGAGAUGAAUGGAAACUCAUUUAGUGGCUCUAUACCCCAAUUAGGUAAUUUGAAGCUCCUAAAAUCACUUGUCCUUUCGGAAAACAAUUUGAGUGGAGCAGAAUUCACUACUCAGGAAUUAACAUUUCUCUCUUCAUUAACUAAUUGUCGACAUUUGAAGUACCUGGAAUUAAGUGAGAAUCCACUGAAUGGCAUCCUACCCGCUUCACUAGGAAAUUUUUCCUCAUCUCUUGAGAUUUUUACUGUAAAAAACUGCAGAAUCAUAGGUGUCAUUCCUUCUGAAUUAGGAAACUUGAGCAGUUUUUUAUAUGUAGAUUUGGCUAGAAAUCAGCUGAGUGGACUCAUUCCACCAACAAUUGGGAAAAUGAAGCAACUCCAAAGACUAUAUCUUGGUGUCAAUCAAUUGGUAGGGUCUAUCCCUAACCAACUUUGCCAAAUGAAUCAUUUGGGGGAGUUAGACCUAAGCAUAAACAAGCUUGUGGGUCCCAUACCUGAAUGCUUAGGUGAUAUUAAAUCCUUGAGAAUGAUCAACUUAGGCUCCAACCAAUUGAAUUCAACUAUCCCUCCUAACUUGUGGGUUCUCACAGACCUUCUAACUUUGAGCUUGUCCUCCAAUCAUUUGAGCGGUCAAUUGUCAUCUCAACUGGGAAAUUUAAAGUCGAUCGCCUCAUUAGAUUUGUCGUCUAAUCAAUUUUCAGGCAAUAUUCCCACUUUGAUAGAUGGUUGCCAAUCAUUAGAGUUUCUUAACUUAUCAAAUAAUUUUCUCAGUGGAUCCAUUCCUCAAUCCUUGGGAAAUGUUAAAGGUUUGAAAAUAUUGGAUUUAUCUUACAAUAAUCUUUCUGGAACAAUACCCAAGCCCUUAGAAGACCUUCUCUUUCUUGAAACUUUUAAUAUUUCCAACAACAAACUGGAAGGGAGAAUACCAGAUGGUGGUUGUUUCCGUAACUUCAGUGCACCGUCUUUUUCCAACAACUUAGCUUUGUGUGGUCCAAGAACAUUUCAAGUUCCAGCCUGCCCAGAAAGCCAUCAUAAAUCAUGGUUGAAGAAACUCAUGGUUUCAUUAGUGAUUUUAGCUGUCAUUGCGGCAAUUGCAUUGCUUGCUUUCAUAUGGAUGUGUAAACAGAAAAAAGUACCCCUCUCGGUUCAUUUUUCAGCACAAAUUACUGAAUGCAUAGCAAUUCCUUACAAUGAACUUGAACGAGGAACGAGUUCAUUUAGUGAAACCAACCUACUUGGAAGAGGUAGCUUUGGUUCUGUAUUCGAAGCAACACUUUCUGAUGGGUUGAAAGUUGCAGUAAAAGUUUUCAACUUAGAACUACAAGGAGCAGCAAGGAGUUUUGGUGUUGAAAGUUCUAUAUUGAGCAGCAUUCGACACAGAAAUUUGGUUCGGGCUAUUGGAUAUUGUUGUAAUAUGAACUUUAAAGCAUUGAUUCUCACAUACAUGCCAAAUGGGAGCUUGGACAAAUGGUUGCAUUCCAGCAAUUAUAGUCUGGAUCUUAUACAGAGGUUGAAAAUAGCAAUAGACGUUGCGGCCGCCUUGGAAUAUCUUCAUCACGGUCAUACAUUCCCAAUUGUUCACUGUGAUAUAAAGCCAAGCAAUGUGUUGCUUGAUCAAGACAUGGUUGCCCAUCUUGCUGAUUUUGGCAUUUCCAAGCUUUUCGAUGGAGGGGAAACUAUCAUUCAAACACAAACACUGGCAACUAUCGGUUAUGCAGCACCAGAGUUUGGAAUGGAAGGGAAAGUAUCAAUAAAUGGAGAUGUAUAUAGUUUUGGGAUACUUGUGCUGGAGAUGUUUACCGGAAAGAGGCCAACGGAUGAUAUGUUCGAUGAAGAAAGAAGCUUAAAACAGUGGGUAAGUGAAGCAUUAGAGGAAAAUACCGCAACUCAAGUGAUGGCGUCUGCUUUGUUGUCAAUGGAAGAUCAGCAUUACUCUGCCAAGGAGAAAUGCAUGUUAUCAACAUUUGAAUUGGCAAUGAAAUGUUUAGCUGUUUCAGCAGACGAAAGGAUCAAUAUGAUUGAAGCAGCGGCUGCUCUGCACAAGAUUUAUGCAACAUUUGUAGCAGGAACUCAAUGGCGCCGUCCAUGAGAUUUUCCCGCCAAAUCUCCACCACAUUCGGCGUCAUUUUGUAGCUGCCAUCAGCCCAUGCCUCCACCCGGUGAUUCGUCUACCUCUAGGCGCUAGCUACAUGCCACGCUUAGAGGAUUAAAAGCAGAUUCAGAAUUCUGCUCUGGAGAGGAGCAGAAAAGAAGAUUUGGGCUUAAGGAUUUCAACUGUGUUCCAUUGAUAAUGACCAAAUUAUGAUUUAAUUGUUGUAAUUAAAUCAGGCCAAGAGACGUGUAGAAUUAAUCAAUUCCCGACUUUUAUUUGCUUAUGGCCCAAAGCCAAAUUGUUAAUUCAAGUUUUAGCUUCGAAAA